rnacentral:tRNA from 1 species
GCCUCCGUAGCUCAGUUGGCCAGAGCGCCGACCUCGUAAGUCGGAAGUCGCGCGUUCGAGUCGCGCCGGGGGCUCCA